GACGAAGGUGGCGAGCGUUGUUCGGAAUCACUGGGUCUAAAGCGCACGUAGGCGGUGCCGUAAGUCGGGUGUGAAAUCCCUCGGCCUAACCGAGGAACUGCGCCCGAUACUGCGGUGCUUGAGGACCAGAGGGGUGCAUGGAAUUUCCGGUGGAGCGGUGAAAUGCGUUGAUAUCGGAAGGAACUCCGGCGGCGAAAGCGGCUCACUGGAUCUCUUCUGACGCUGAGGCACGAAAGCUAGGGUAGCGAACGGG
rnacentral:rRNA from 1 species